rnacentral:rRNA from 1 species
AACGAACGCUGGCGGCAGGCUUAACACAUGCAAGUCGAACGCGUGUAGCAAUACACGAGUGGCGCACGGGUGAGUAACGCGUGGAUAUCUGCCUUUUGGUUCGGAAUAACUCCGGGAAACUGGAGCUAAUACCGGAUGGUUCCUUCGGGAUAAAGAUUUAUCGCCAAAAGAUGAGUCCGCGUACGAUUAGCUAGUUGGUGAGGUAAUGGCUCACCAAGGCGACGAUCGUUAGCUGGUCUGAGAGGACGAUCAGCCACACUGGGACUGAGACACGGCCCAGACUCCUACGGGAGGCAGCAGUGGGGAAUAUUGGACAAUGGGGGCAACCCUGAUCCAGCCAUGCCGCGUGAGUGAUGAAGGCCUUCGGGUUGUAAAGCUCUUUUGGCGGGGACGAUGAUGACGGUACCCGCAGAAUAAGCCCCGGCUAACUUCGUGCCAGCAGCCGCGGUAAGACGAAGGGGGCUAGCGUUGUUCGGAAUUACUGGGCGUAAAGCGAGUGUAGGUGGUUGUCAUAGUCAGGUGUGAAAGCCUUGAGCUCAACUCAAGAAAUGCACUUGAUACUGGGCGACUAGAGGACCGGAGAGGAUAGUGGAAUUCCCAGUGUAGUGGUGAAAUACGUAGAGAUUGGGAAGAACACCAGUGGCGAAGGCGGCUAUCUGGACGGUUUCUGACACUAAGACUCGAAAGCGUGGGGAGCAAACA